CUGCUCAAUGAAUAUAAAAUAUCUAUUUUAUGUAAUUUAAAUAGCCGCAAUUCUGUGCUAAGGUAGCAUAAUCAUUUGCUUUUUAAUUAAAAGCUAGAAUGAAAGGUUAAACAUUUAAAUUUCUUUAUUAAAACCAAAUUUCUAAUUUAUACUAAAUAUAAAAAUAUAUUUUUUUAAAAAAAAGACGACAAGACCCUAUUAAACUUAACUUAAGUUAAACUGGGGCAGUUAAUUAAUAAAAAUUUUAAAUUAUAAUAUCUAAGUAAAUUUCUAAUAAAAUUAAAUUUAACAAGUUACUAUAGGGAUAACAGCGUUAUACUUUUUAAAAGUUCAUAUUUAAAAAAAUGAUUGCGACCUCGAUGUUGAAUUAUAUUUCUUUAUUAACGCAAUAGUUAUA
rnacentral:rRNA from 1 species